rnacentral:rRNA from 1 species
GACGAACGCUGGCGGCGUGCCUAAUACAUGCAAGUAGAACGCUGAGGUUUGGUGUUUACACUAGACUGAUGAGUUGCGAACGGGUGAGUAACGCGUAGGUAACCUGCCUCAUAGCGGGGGAUAACUAUUGGAAACGAUAGCUAAUACCGCAUAAGAGUAAUUAACACAUGUUGGUUAUUUAAAAGGAGCAAUUGCUUCACUGUGAGAUGGACCUGCGUUGUAUUAGCUAGUUGGUGAGGUAAAGGCUCACCAAGGCGACGAUACAUAGCCGACCUGAGAGGGUGAUCGGCCACACUGGGACUGAGACACGGCCCAGACUCCUACGGGAGGCAGCAGUAGGGAAUCUUCGGCAAUGGACGGAAGUCUGACCGAGCAACGCCGCGUGAGUGAAGAAGGUUUUCGGAUCGUAAAGCUCUGUUGUUAGAGAAGAACGUUGGUAGGAGUGGAAAAUCUACCAAGUGACGGUAACUAACCAGAAAGGGACGGCUAACUACGUGCCAGCAGCCGCGGUAAUACGUAGGUCCCGAGCGUUGUCCGGAUUUAUUGGGCGUAAAGCGAGCGCAGGCGGUUCUUUAAGUCUGAAGUUAAAGGCAGUGGCUUAACCAUUGUACGCUUUGGAAACUGGAGGACUUGAGUGCAGAAGGGGAGAGUGGAAUUCCAUGUGUAGCGGUGAAAUGCGUAGAUAUAUGGAGGAACACCGGUGGCGAAAGCAGCUCUCUGGUCUGUAACUGACGCUGAGGCUCGAAAGCGUGGGGAGCAAACAGG